ensembl:lncRNA
GUCUUUAUCAUGUAUUGAUCAUAUCUGUCCUUUUACCCUUUCCUGUCCCUUUUCCCCUCGCCCGACCCCUUUCUCAGUCUCUUUUUUUUUUUUUUUGGUACCGGGGAUCGAACCCUGGUCCUCAGCUUGCGAGGCAAGCGGUGGAACCACUGAGCUAAAUCCCCGGCCCCUUUCUCAGUCUCUUGAUAGUCCUUUUACUUUCAGGUCACUUUUUUGUCCUUCAAAUUUCCAUGUGUGACAGAAAACAUGUGAUACUCAUCUUUCUGUUUCGGGUUUAUUUUGCUUAAUAUUGUGUCCAUCCAUUUUCCUGCAAAUGAACGAUUCAUUUAAAAAAGGAUUACAGGGGAUUUUCUGGGGAACAGAAAAUGCACUCUGCCCACGUGGAGGCAGGAAAAGCUAUUUUGGGUUUCAUACGGUGGGAGAGUAACGGGAUUGGCGAGAAGGGACGAUACAGAGUCCAUGUGCUAGGGGUGAUGUGUGUGUCUCCCUCUGGCCGGAGCAGCUGAGUGAAGGGUGAAGCAUUUACUGUUGGAGAAGACAGCACAAGAAUGAGCUUUGGUAGAGAAAGUUUUAGACGCCUAUUAAACAUCUGAGUGCCAGAAAGUGAGCGCUUGGAUAUAUUGCAGUCUUCUCUGUCUCAGGGAGAGAGGAGACAUGAAAAAUAAUUAGCUAGAAGAGCGCAGUCAGGAAAGGUAAUGUAAAUAUUUCAGAUAGCACUGGAAAAACCCAAGCUUGGUUGUCAUAAAUUUAAAAUGAGAGUAGAUGCUAUUUUGUACUUUUUUCCCAGUCACCGUGAGCGACGUGGGUGUAGCAUGGAGUAGGUGGAGAAUUGGAUUUCACUGGAGCUGGGAUGUUCUUAGGCAGGUGGAAAUGGAGAGAAAGAGGGUGUAGGAAAAUUUGUGGUGUGUGGAUCCCAGUUGGGGUGGAGAGAAGUGGGGUUGUAGUGAAUCGGAAAAAGCAAGCGACUGUAGGGAGUGGUGGACUCACUGUUCCUAGAGGAGGAGAAGUGGAAGGGCAGGAGCUGGCAGGUGCUAGGAAGGGAGGCUUUGCUGUGACACAUUCGUUGCUAGCACAAGGAUCCAGCUUGUGACCCUGAGAAGAGGGAGGUGGCAACUGAGGAUGUGAUCUUUGCAUGAAAGGAAGUUGAGUGACUGAGUGGCCAGAGUGUGGCUCAGCCCUUUCAUGUGCAUUUCAGAGUCACUAAGAACAAGGGUAGGAGUCAGCAGAUCGCAGAUGCCCCACUUGAAAGUGAGGGCAAACUCUGCAGCCAAGGAGGCCUUGGAGGAGGGCGCAGGGGCAGCCGCAGAUGCUGAGCCAGUGAGCGUGCUCACUUCAGGCCAAGGCGCCCAGCCUCUGGGGACCUUCUUCCCAUUCUUUUUUUUUUGGUACUGGAGAUCACACAUGGGACCUUACACUUGUGAGGCAGGUGAUGGCACCACCAAGCUAAAUCCCUGGCCCUACCAUCAUGUGUGUGUGUGUGUGUGUGUGUGUGUGUGUGUGUGAGUGCAUAUAUAUAUAUUAUGUGUGUGUGCAUAUAUAUAUUAUAUAUAUGUGCAUAUAUAUUUUUUAUUAUAUAUAUAUAGAGAGAGAGAGAGACAAGAUCUUGCUCUGUAGUUCAGGCUGUCCUUAAGGUCACUGUGUAGCCUCAGGCUGGCCUCAAACUCGUGGCAAUCCUCCUGCCUCAGCCUCCGUAGUUCUGGGAUUACAGACAUGUAUCACCGCACCUGGCUAAUGUUUACAUUUUAGCAAAUCUUCACUAAAUUGUUUUUAGGUAUAUAAAAAUCUUCCUAAAAUAAUUUUUAAAGAAGCAAUUGCCAAAAAAAAGUAAAAAGAAUUUCAAAACAGAAAAAAAUAGAUUAAAAAAAGAAAAAAGCAAUUGCCAGUCUCUGUGUAGAUGUAUAGAAAGUCCUUCAUCUAGUAUCAGAAUAUGCUGUUGUUAGGCCGGGGAUUUAGCUCAAUGGUUCCGCUGCCUGCUUCAAAAGGGAAAGGUCCCAAGUUCGAUCCCCAGUAACAUAAAACAAAAAAACAAACCAAAAAUAUGCUGUUGUCUCCAGUUUCAGUCUGUCUAUCUGUCUCUCUCCCUUCCUCUCCCUCACCCCUUUCUUUCCUUCCUUCCUUCAGGCAGUCCCUCUCUUCCUCCUUCCCUCCCUCUCUCCUUCCCUUCUUUCCUUUCUUUCCUGGGCCUUCACACUGGGCUACAUCCCCAGCCCUUUCUCAUUUUAAUUCAUUAAUGGAUUGACUAAUCCUGGCACUGGGGAUUAAACCUAGGGCCUUUGCACCAAGCUGCAUACACAGCCCUUUAAUUUUUUUUUUUUUGAGACAAGGUUUGGCUAAGCCACUAAGUUUCCCAGGCUGAGUUCAGACUUGCGAUUAUUAUCCUGUCUCAGCCUCCCACAGUGCUGAGAUUACAGGCCUACACCACCACAUUUGGCUCUUAUUUUUGACAAAUAAUUAUUGUUGAUGUUAAAUUUGAUCGUUUGGUAAGCUAUUCCCUCUCAUAUUUCCCUGUAUCUUGUUUUUUUUAUCAGUCUUGCAGUGGUUAUAGCAUCUGUUGAUAAUUACAGCUUGAAUCCGUUCUUACUUGGAAGAAGAGUAUUUGGAAACCAAGAUCUAGGACCCGUGAAGACAUUUCCAUCAUCUCAAAGUGUUCUCUUGUGUCACAUUCCGGUCUGUCCCUCGCUGCAGCCCCAGGCUCUCACUCCUCUCCUGUCACCGUGGAUUGAGCGAAACUCAUGUCUAGACUUCUCUGUCACCUGAGUCAUGUUGGGUGUACUCUUUUGUGUUAGGCUUCUUCUCUUCAGCAUGUUUCGAUAUUCACCUGUAUUGUAUUUAUCAGGAGUCCAUCCCUUUUUAUUUCUGCACAUAUGCUACUGUCUCGAAGUGCAUUAAGUGGACAUUUGGUUGUUCCCAGCUGUUACAAAUAAAGUUGCCG